UGGCGGUUGCUUACACAUGCAUUCGAACGAAAUACGAUGGGGUUUACUCUAUCGUAUGGCAGUGGCGGACGGGUGCGUAACGCGUAAGGACUUACCUUUUGGCGAGGGACAACCGCGGGAAACUGCGGCUAAUACCUCAUAGAGCUGAGGAGCGAAAGGUGAAAACCACCAAAAGAGAGGCUUGCGUCUGAUUAGCUAGUUGGUGAGGGUAAUGGCCUCCCAAGGCGACGAUCAGUAGCUGGUCUGAGAGGAUGAUCAGCCACACUGGAACUGAGACACGGUCCAGACUCCUACGGGAGGCAGCAGUGAGGAAUUUUCCGCAAUGGGCGAAAGCCUGACGGAGCAAUACCGCGUGGAGGAGGAAGGCCCGUGGGUCGUAAACUCCUUUUCUCAGAGAAGAACACAAUGACGGUAUCUGAGGAAUAAGCAUCGGCUAACUCCGUGCCAGCAGCCGCGGUAAU
rnacentral:rRNA from 1 species